rnacentral:rRNA from 1 species
UUUUGACCUCAAAUCAGGUAGGACUACCCGCUGAACUUAAGCAUAU